rnacentral:lncRNA from 1 species
UGAGAUUUUGGCUGUUUACUCAUGGCAAAAUGACAGAAAGUCAUUUAGAUCUUUUUUUUUUUUUUUGAGACAGAGUCUCGCUCUGUUGCCCAGGCUGGAGUGCAGUGGCACGAUCUCGGCUCACUGCAAGCUCCGCCUCCCGGGUUCACGCCAUUCUCCUGCCUCAGCCUCUGGAGUAGCUGGGACUACAGGCGCCCGCCACCACACCCAGCUAAUUUUUUUGUGUGUAUUUUUAGUAGAGACGGGGUUUCACUGUGUUAGCCCGGAUGGUCUCGAUCUCCUGACCUCGUGAUCCGCCCGCCUCAGCCUCCCAAAUAGCUGGGAUUACAGGCAUGCGCCACCAUGACCGGCUAAUUUUAUAUUUUUAGUAGAG